GGGACAUCCACCGCCUCUCUGGGCAACCUGUGCCACUGCCUCACCGUUCUGUGACAGACUUUUUCCUUAUAUCCGACCUAAAUCUCUCCUCUUUUAGUUUGAAACUGUUUCCCCUUGUCCUGUCCCAACAGGCCCUACUGUAGAAUCCAUCCCCUUCCUUCUUACAGCCCUCAGAGCCUUCUCCGUGCUGAACAGCCCCAGUCCUAUCAGCCUGUCCUUGCAGGAGAGGUAUCCCAUGUUUUGGAUCAUUUCUGUGGCCCUCCUGUGGACACACUCCAACAGGCCCAUGUCUUUCCCAUGCUGAGGACUCCACACGUGGACACAGUACUGCAGGUGUCUUUUCCAUCCAGGCUCAGCCCACACUGUCAUAAUGAUCUCCUGAUAUUGGCACAGCCACCAUGAGCUCUGCGGUUUGUUAUUGUGCUGCUGUGACACCGAAAAACACCAACUCUGGAGAAGAAUGGCAACUUUUCUUCUGCCUUGAGAGACAAGAAUAUCUGGAGGGGUUUCUCUGGAGGACCUCAGGAAAGUGGCAACAGGGAGGCAGAUGUGUGCCUCAGCACUUCAGUUAUAUACAUGUGUUGAGUCCUUUGGAUGAGAAAAGACAACCAUGAGAUGUGGAAAGGGGAACAGUGAGCAAAAAUUACAAAGGUAAUUCUCUGGCUGGGAUUUGACACUCAGUUUCUUGCUGCGGUAUAGAGAUUCUCUUUCAAAAGUAGAGAGACAUUAUUUUUGACUAUUUAAAAGAAUUUACCAUAGUUAAGUUUAUCCCCCUGCUGUGUUUUAAUCAGGCAUCCUGAUGUAAACUUUGCUGUACAUCCUAAGUGCACUGCAGUGUGUUGCGUUGGUUGAACUUACGUGAUGAGAUCCUGUUGUCAUAGGAAAUACUGUUUGCAGUCCAAAACUAAAAGCAUUGCAUUCAUCCAGUUCCAUUAGUGAGCAAAGAAGAACUUCUCUGCAGAAGCUGAACUUCCACAAUCAAACACAAAAGUAGUAAUUUCAAGCCAAUGAACAUGGGUGAUCCUAUUUGCUUGCAGAAGGUUCCACAGACAGAAAGGUAUAGAGGUAUUUUGUGACUAAAUUACUUAUUGCUUGGUCAUUUGCUUAGCAGUGUUGCUAACCAACCAGGGCUACCUUUGUAGAAGCUAGGAAGAUGUUGCCAACAUUUUUGGCACAAGGUCUCCAUGUUAGUUCUGUUCUAUACUGUAUUGCUUUUAUUUCAUACCCUACGUUCCCUCUGAACCCAUGUUUUCACAGCUCCAGUAGCUGGGACUUAGUGCAAGAAGUUGGUAAUAACACCGUGGAUGAACCUGCCCUCUCAGCAAGGGGAUUGAUGUGAAUCACCAAGUCUGCAUCUCCCUGGGUCAUGAGUGUACAGCCCUGCAUGGAGGGACUCGUCUUACUCAACUUCAGAAACCUUUUUCCAUGCUAAUCAUCUUGGUUGUUUCAUAGUUCAGGAAAGUAACAGGUCUUGCAUGUAUGUAGCAGGCACUUGCCUCAUCUGUAUCUUCCCAUAGAGUCUUGUAGGUCUCCUUGCUGGUGCCACCUUAUCUGCAGUUUACUGGGGAUACUGCAACAGUGUGUUCUUCCCUCCCUCCUUUCGUUCUCCCAACUUCAUCCUUCAGCCUGGCUUUGCACACAAGGCCUCACACAGGACGACAGUGAGCAACAGUACUGAUAACACUCUUGCUAAAACAGAUUAACUGCCUCAAAUCUGUCUCAAACUGGGGGACUGAAAGAACUGAUAGCAGGCACCUGGUUCAGCAGCUGAGGGCCAUAUGAGCAUGUCCCUAAAAACAGAGUAUGAAUAUGAGUCAGCCACCUUACUCUGUAAAUAGGGAGCAGCAGAAGAGCCCCUUGAGCUCUGCUACAUAACAGCUAGCUGCACAACAGGAUUUCCUCUUGAGCCAUCUCUUGAGGUUACAUCUGUGCAGAGAUCCCUUACACCUUGACGUCAAGGUGCCUUGCCAGUACAAUUCUCGGUAAGUGACUAAUUGUUUUAAGCUUUGUUGGCUCUGCUAAGAUUAUAUCUUAGAUUGAUGCUAAGCUUUUUUUUAGCUUCACUGAGACAGUGUCUUGGAUUGUUUGUGCA
ensembl:lncRNA